GACGAACGCUGGCGGCGUGCCUAAUACAUGCAAGUCGAACGAGAGCGACCGGUGCUUGCACUGGUCAAUCUAGUGGCGAACGGGUGAGUAACACGUGGGUAACCUGCCCAUCAGAGGGGGAUAACAUCCGGAAACGGAUGCUAAAACCGCAUAGGUCUUCGAACCGCAUGGUUUGAAGAGGAAAAGAGGCGCAAGCUUCUGCUGAUGGAUGGACCCGCGGUGCAUUAGCUAGUUGGUGAGGUAACGGCUCACCAAGGCCGUGAUGCAUAGCCGACCUGAGAGGGUGAUCGGCCACAUGGGGACUGAGACACGGCCCAAACUCCUACGGGAGGCAGCAGUAGGGAAUCUUCCGCAAAGGACGCAAGUCUGACGGAGCAACGCCGCGUGAGUGAAGAAGGUUUUCGGAUCGUAAAACCCUGUUGUUAGAGAAGAACAAGUGCUAGAGUAACUGUUAGCGCCUUGACGGUAUCUAACCAGAAAGCCACGGCUAACUACGUG
rnacentral:rRNA from 1 species